rnacentral:rRNA from 1 species
GAUGAACGCUGGCGGCGUGCCUAAUACAUGCAAGUCGAGCGAACAGACGAGGAGCUUGCUCCUCUGACGUUAGCGGCGGACGGGUGAGUAACACGUGGAUAACCUACCUAUAAGACUGGGAUAACUUCGGGAAACCGGAGCUAAUACCGGAUAAUAUAUUGAACCGCAUGGUUCAAUAGUGAAAGACGGUUUUGCUGUCACUUAUAGAUGGAUCCGCGCCGCAUUAGCUAGUUGGUAAGGUAACGGCUUACCAAGGCAACGAUGCGUAGCCGACCUGAGAGAGUGAUCGGCCACACUGGAACUGAGACACGGUCCAGACGCCUACGGGAGGCAGCAGUAGGGAAUCUUCCGCAAUGGGCGAAAGCCUGACGGAGCAACGCCGCGUGAGUGAUGAAGGUCUUCGGAUCGUAAAACUCUGUUAUUAGGGAAGAACAAAUGUGUAAGUAACUAUGCACGUCUUGACGGUACCUAAUCAGAAAGCCACGGCUAACUACGUG